GAGGGUGUAGCUCAGUGGUAGAGUGCAUGCCUAGCAUGCACAAGGUUCUAGAUUCAAUCCCCAGUACCUCCA
rnacentral:tRNA from 1 species